rnacentral:rRNA from 1 species
GAUGAACGCUGACAGAAUGCUUAACACAUGCAAGUCAACUGUGGCGGACGGGUGAGUAACGCGUAAAGAACUUGCCUCACGGUUAGGAACAACAUUUGGAAACGAAUGCUAAUACCUGAUACUGUGAGAGAGCUUUGCGUCCCAUUAGCGAGUUGGAGAGGUAACGGCUCACCAAGGCGAUGAUGGGUAGCCGGCCUGAGAGGGUGAACGGCCACAAGGGGACCGAGACACGGCCCUUACUCCUACGUGAGGCAGCAGUGGGGAAUAUUGGACAAUGGACCAAAGUUUGAUCCAGCAAUUCUGUGUGAACGAUGAAGUUUUCGGAAUGUAAAGUGCUUUCAGUUGGGAAGCGGUACCAACAGAAGAAGUGACGGCUAACUACGUGCCAGCCGCCGCGGUAAUUC